GCUUAACACAUGCAAGUCGAGGGGCAGCAUGGUCUUUUCUUGCUAAGGCCGAUGGCGACCGGCGCACGGGUGAGUAACGCGUAUCCAACCUGCCUUACACUCUUGGACAGCCUUCUGAAAGGGAGAUUAAUACAAGAUGUUAUCAUGAGUAAGCAUUUUCGCAUGAUUAAAGGUUUACCGGUGUAAGAUGGGGAUGCGUUCCAUUAGAUAGUAGGCGGGGUAACGGCCCACCUAGUCUUCGAUGGAUAGGGGUUCUGAGAGGAAGGUCCCCCACAUUGGAACUGAGACACGGUCCAAACUCCUACGGGAGGCAGCAGUGAGGAAUAUUGGUCAAUGGACGAGAGUCUGAACCAGCCAAGUAGCGUGAAGGAUGAAGGUUCUAUGGAUUGUAAACUUCUUUUAUACGGGAAUAAACGAAUCCACGCGUGGAUUUUUGCAUGUACCGUAUGAAUAAGGAUCGGCUAACUCCGUGCCAGCAGCCGCGGUAAUACGGAGGAUCCGAGCGUUAUCCGGAUUUAUUGGGUUUAAAGGGAGCGUAGAUGGGUUGUUAAGUCAGUUGUGAAAGUUUGCGGCUCAACCGUAAAAUUGCAAUUGAUACUGGCAGUCUUGAGUACAGUUGAGGUAGGCGGAAUUCGUGGUGUAGCGGUGAAAUGCUUAGAUAUCACGAAGAACUCCUAUUGCGAAGGCAGCUUACUAACCUGUAACUGACAUUGAUGCUCGAAAGUGUGGGUAUCAAACAGGAUUAGAUACCCUGGUAGUCCACACGGUAAACGAUGAAUACUCGCUGUAGGCGAUAUACAGUCUGCGGCCAAGCGAAAGCAUUAAGUAUUCCACCUGGGGAGUACGCCGGCAACGGUGAAACUCAAAGGAAUUGACGGGGGCCCGCACAAGCGGAGGAACAUGUGGUUUAAUUCGAUGAUACGCGAGGAACCUUACCCGGGCUUAAAUUGCAACCGAAUGUGGCGGAAACGCUAUAGCUAGCAAUAGCGGUUGUGAAGGUGCUGCAUGGUUGUCGUCAGCUCGUGCCGUGAGGUGUCGGCUUAAGUGCCAUAACGAGCGCAACCCUUGCCGAUAGUUACUAACAGGUCAUGCUGAGGACUCUGUCGGGACUGCCAUCGUAAGAUGUGAGGAAGGUGGGGAUGACGUCAAAUCAGCACGGCCCUUACGUCCGGGGCUACACACGUGUUACAAUGGGGGGUACAGAGGGCUGCUACCACGCAAGUGGAUGCCAAUCCCAAAAACCUCUCUCAGUUCGGAUUGAAGUCUGCAACCCGACUUCAUGAAGCUGGAUUCGCUAGUAAUCGCGCAUCAGCCACGGCGCGGUGAAUACGUUCCCGGGCCUUGUACACACCGCCCGUCAAGCCAUGGGAGCCGGGGGUACCUGAAGUGCGUAACCGCAAGGAGCGCCCUAGGGUAAAACUGGUGACUGGGGCUAAGUCAUAACAAG
rnacentral:rRNA from 1 species